rnacentral:rRNA from 1 species
UACGAAGGGGGCUAGCGUUGCUCGGAAUUACUGGGCGUAAAGGGUGCGCAGGCGGUCCUGCAAGUCAGGCGUGAAAUCCCCGGGCUUAACCUGGGAAUGGCACUUGAAACUACGGGACUGGAGUAUGGCAGAGGGAGGUGGAAUUCCACGUGUAGCGGUGAAAUGCGUAGAGAUGUGGAGGAACACCGAUGGCGAAGGCAGCCUCCUGGGCCAAUACUGACGCUCAUGCACGAAAGCGUGGGGAGCAAACAGG